GACGAACGCUGGCGGCGUGCUUAACACAUGCAAGUCGAACGGAAAGGCUCCAGCUUGCUGGAGUACUCGAGUGGCGAACGGGUGAGUAACACGUGGGUAAUCUGCCCUGCACUCUGGGAUAAGCCUGGGAAACUGGGCCUAAUACUGGAUAUGACCUUUCUCCUUAUGGGGUUUGGUGGAAAGUUUUUCGGUGUAGGAUGAGCCCGCGGCCUAUCAGCUUGUUGGUGGGGUGAUGGCCUACCAAGGCGACGACGGGUAGCCGGCCUGAGAGGGUGAUCGGCCACAUUGGGACUGAGAUACGGCCCAGACUCCUACGGGAGGCAGCAGUGGGGAAUAUUGCACAAUGGGCGGAAGCCUGAUGCAGCGACGCCGCGUGAGGGAUGACGGCCUUCGGGUUGUAAACCGCUUUCAGCAGGGACGAAGCGUAAGUGACGGUACCUGCAGAAGAAGCACCGGCUAACUAUGUG
rnacentral:rRNA from 1 species